AGAUGAAGUUGAAUUCCGUCUUUCUUUCUGUCUUUCUUACUUACUUUCGGUCUUUCUUUCUUUCUUUCUUUCUUUCUUUCUUCCUU
rnacentral:ribozyme from 11 species